rnacentral:lncRNA from 1 species
ACCAUACAGGGGAACACUCGGCAGAGCCAGAGGCCUGGGCCCAAGUCCUGCCACCAGCUGGCUGUGAAACUGUGGUACAGCACCUUGUGUCCUGCCACCAGCCGGCUGUGAAACUGGUACAGCACCUUGUCCUCAGGUCCUUGGUUUCCUCACUUGUAAAUUCAUGGUUCUCCAUGGCAUCUCUGGUCUUCAACAUUAUUUUGCAUAGAGUCUCAGAAGCUUUAGUGUGAGCGGAUGAUAUGGGCACGAAGCAAGGCACCCAGAAGUGGGGGCAACUACUCUGCUUUCUAAAAUGCAAGGGAACCGGAAAAUCCAGGAGCCGUGCCAAAGUCUAUGUUCCCUUUAUGAGCUGUAACGCACACCAUGAAGGUCUGCGGCUUGGCUAUUGAGUCAGUGAGAGCGUGAACCUACUAUUAGAAGAAAAACUCUGAAUACGUCUGAACGUCAGAAAGAACGAAGUUUGGACACAUUGUCUUUAAGAACUGUAACACUCACCCCAAGGGUUUAUGGAUUCAUUCUUGAAAUCAGUGAAACCAAAAGCUUUCCAAAGUUUAACACACAGGGAAAUGACUUACUGCAAAGAACCACUCUUCCCCACGAGACUUCGAGAAGACCCGCUGUCACGGACUGAGUUGUGUCCUCUUAAAAUUCAGAUGUUGGAGUCCAAACCCCCAGUAACUCAGAGUGUGAACGUAUUUGAAGAGGUCUUUAAAGAGGUGAUGAAGGGAGAGAGACCCCAUGAGCUCGUCAAGCUCCUUCUGUGACUGAUCAGAGAUCCCACCGUGAGUCCAGCUCCUGGUCCCAUGCUCUGGAUAUAUCGGUCCCUGGCAGCGUGGCUCCAUCUCCGUAGCCUGCUUUUGACAAAAGUGGAUACAUAAAUCUAGGGGCCACCUAGCUAGUUCUAAUAAGACUUUGGAAGUCAAAAGCUAAAGAAGACCAGGGGACCAAGCUGGAAAUCAGGCUCUGCAAUCAGAUUCCAGAGGGAAUGCCAUUCCACCCAAUCACCUAGCCACAACGGUUCCCUUCCUUCAAGAUGCUGCAUGCCUCUUCAGGCGAAUGGAUUACCUUGUAAGAGUGACCUGAAAAAGCGUUAGCCCAGCCACACCGAGGCUUAACUGAGCCAUUUGAUUCUCACUGCCUCUCUCUGUUGCUUCCUCUUGCUUUCAACUACAGGGUCUUUCUGUUUAGGUGGUGAAAAAAAUGAUCGUUAAAAACAAUAAACCUGGGGACCUCUGAUACCAUGAGCCCAGCCAGA